AGAGAGAGACAUGCGCGCAUAUCAAUAAGCGGAGGAAAAGAAACUAACAAGGAUUCCCUUAGUAACGGCGAGUGAAGCGGGAAGAGCUCAAAUUUGAAAUCUUCAAGGUUUUACCUUGACGAAUUGUAGUUUAAAGAAGUGUUUUCUGCUGAAGUUUUGGUAAAAGUUCUUUGGAAUAGGACAUCAUAGAGGGUGAGAAUCCCGUAUUUGACCAUUAUUUUCAGCUUUGUGAUACACUUUCAAAGAGUCGGAUUGUUUGGGAAUGCAGUCCAAAAUGGGUGGUAAAUUUCAUCUAAAGCUAAAUAUUGGCGAGAGACCGAUAGCGAACAAGUACCGUGAGGGAAAGAUGAAAAGAACUUUGAAAAGAGAGUUAAACAGUACGUGAAAUUGUCAAAAGGGAAGCGUUUGACACCAGGUGUUGUUUUCUCGAAAAUCAAUUAAAAAUGGCUCGAUUUUGUAUUGCUGAGACCUUAAAAGCUCACUGUACAUUUUUCGUGUCCUUUUUAAUGCACUUUUCGUUUAACAAGUCAACAUCAGUUUCUUUUGUUGUAAAAGGGUCAUUGGAAGGUGGCUUUCUUUUCGGAGAAAGUGUUUAUAGCCUUUGGCCUCUGCAAUCGAAGAGACUGAGGUCUGCAGCGUAGACUCUUCGGGGUUAGAUACAUUUGUGCUAAGUUAUAGCUUUUUAUAGACAACUUGUUGACUAUAAUUAGUCUUGUAGCUUACUCGCUUAUGCUAUUUUACCUACGCUUAGGAUGUUGAAGAUGUAGCACAUCAU
rnacentral:rRNA from 1 species